rnacentral:rRNA from 2 species
AAACUGAAGAGUUUGAUCCUGGCUCAGAUUGAACGCUGGCGGCAUGCCUUACACAUGCAAGUCGAACGGCAGCACGGAGCUUGCUCUGGUGGCGAGUGGCGAACGGGUGAGUAAUAUAUCGGAACGUACCCUAGAGUGGGGGAUAACGUAGCGAAAGUUACGCUAAUACCGCAUACGAUCUAAGGAUGAAAGUGGGGGAUCGCAAGACCUCAUGCUCGUGGAGCGGCCGAUAUCUGAUUAGCUAGUUGGUAGGGUAAAAGCCUACCAAGGCAUCGAUCAGUAGCUGGUCUGAGAGGACGACCAGCCACACUGGAACUGAGACACGGUCCAGACUCCUACGGGAGGCAGCAGUGGGGAAUUUUGGACAAUGGGCGAAAGCCUGAUCCAGCAAUGCCGCGUGAGUGAAGAAGGCCUUCGGGUUGUAAAGCUCUUUUGUCAGGGAAGAAACGGUGAAGGCUAAUAUCCUUUGCUAAUGACGGUACCUGAAGAAUAAGCACCGGCUAACUACGUGCCAGCAGCCGCGGUAAUACGUAGGGUGCAAGCGUUAAUCGGAAUUACUGGGCGUAAAGCGUGCGCAGGCGGUUUUGUA